AAAUAACUUUAUCUCACCAUAGAUAUGGAUAGUAUCAGGAAGACUGUGCACUUCGCUAGUAGCAUCUAUGGCCAGCACCAAGCGAGACUAGUGGCGCAAACAAGAAAUGAUCAUGAAAAUGGUGCACGUGCUUUACCAAGUUACAGAAAAGCAGGCUUUGGUGAUCAGCAAGAUGAUGGUAUUUCCGCUGAAAAAUCUUUUGAGGACAGUGGAUCUGAUGCAGGAGCUUCUACAUGCAGUAAAAUCUGGAAGACUCUUCGAGAGCAACUGAAAAUUUCAUGACUUUAUAAGAUUAUGUCUUAGUUGAUGAUGCGGUCCUGCCAUGUUAGCCACAAACUGGAGAAGAUUCAUGUGCACAGUACAAGGCCUGUUUAGCAGAAGAUGAGAUUGAUGAUGAAGGUGACUCCCCUUUCAUGGCAAAAUACCCUGUUUUAUCGCAUAAUCGUCGCACCUAUAAUUUAGGGUGUAAAAAUUUAGAUACUAAACCUCUCGCGUAAAAGUCGCAUGAUGUUUUUGGUCCCGCUAUUAGAAUCCGAGCGCUUUGUGUAGGUAUCUUUUCCAUAUAAAACAAUGUGUUUCAAAGUCAAAAUAGAAAUCUAAUAUUUAUUUGGACAUUACCACUUAUUUAAUUAACAAAAAUACGAAGUUGUCUGAUGUGUAAAUUUUCUUUUAAAGACGUUUAUAAAAGUUAUAACCUGUAUCUGUUUGUCUGCGUCGCUGCAGUGCACCACUUAUAAAAAUGUAGCCAGCGCUAGUUGACAUCAUUCACGUUUUGUUAUAUCUCUUCCCAUAUAGAGCGUGCGCACAUAGUCGAAUAUCGAUACUGAUAUCUCGUCGAUUGCAUGCAACGCACACUCCCUGUCGAGAGCUGAGUUGACAUUUGUUGGCCCACACUCUUUCGUAGUGUGUACUACGACGAUAGUUAUGCGUUAGUUCAGGCUAGCAUUCACAUUUUGUUUUUCUAUUUAAAGUUGAAGAAAGGUUUUCGUUGCAUGACUUAUUAAGUUAAAUUGUUCUGCGUGCUUUUAUAUACUCCACUUUUUAAAUAAACUUACUUUCCAUGAAUGGGUUUUGUUUUUGUGAAUAACUUUACCUAACAAAAAAAAAUUUUUUUUCCGUAUAAACGCCACACCACUACUUUUCAAACAUGAUUUUAGUAUAAAAUGUGCAACAAUUAUGCGAUAAAGCACGGGAAGACCUGAGAACUUGAAAAUUUUGUGAUGCAUCAGAUUGAAAUAAUCUUAAAACCAACUACUCUUACCCAAUAUUUUACAAAGCAAUAAGAGUUUUUUUUUGCUAUGAUUGUUUAGUUUUGAAUACUGAUUUCAUUUGUGCUUAUUUAAUUAAAUUCAGUUUAAAUAAUUAGGUUUCCUGAUAUACAUGUAUAGAUUUUCCAACAUGCUGAACGUAAUGAGAGAAAUAAGUGUAAUUUUGAGUUAAUUCAGUGUGUCAGAGUGAAAUUUGUUUUUAUGUUCUAACUGAUUUUGAACUAUUUCCCUCAAAAAUGUUUUUCCUGAUAAUUUUUUUGCAUUUAGUCCCUUGAAAAACAUCUUAACAAAGUUUUACAAUAUUAAAUUUUAAAAAAUUUUGCACUUAACCUAUAAA